AACGAACGCUGGCGGCAGGCUUAACACAUGCAAGUCGAACGCCCCGCAAGGGGAGUGGCGCACGGGUGAGUAACGCGUGGGAAUAUGCCCUUUAGUACGGAACAACGUCGGGAAACUGACGCUAAUACCGUAUAAUGUCUACGGACCAAAGAUUUAUCGCUAAAGGAGUAGCCCGCGUCUGAUUAGCUUGUUGGUGAGGUAACGGCUCACCAAGGCUACGAUCAGUAGCUGGUCUGAGAGGAUGAUCAGCCACACUGGGACUGAGACACGGCCCAGACUCCUACGGGAGGCAGCAGUGAGGAAUAUUGGACAAUGGGGGAAACCCUGAUCCAGCCAUGCCGCGUGAGUGAUGAAGGCCUUCGGGUUGUAAAGCUCUUUCGUCAGGGAAGAUAAUGACGGUACCUGAAGAAGAAGCCCCGGCUAACUUCGUGCCAGCCGCCGCAGUAAUAC
rnacentral:rRNA from 1 species